GAAGCGCCGAUAAACUCAUAAAAGCACAUUGCUUGCCUCUAGAAUAAACGUCAAACAGUUCAUCGCCUUGAUGAAUAUUAGCACAAAGAAAUAAAGCCAUACUAACCUGGUUUCUUCGGGAAGUAUUCGUAUAUUUUGCAUUUUCAGAUACAGAGUAAAAAGCUUGCAAAUUAUGUGCACGCAAUCCAAAUAUUUUUCUCGCACUCCCCCCGUCCAUCCUCCCCCCCGGAAUUACGACAUCUGGACAGACACAAGAUCUCGAUCUCGCCAAUACAUAGAUCGGCGCGAAAGACUGGGUCGAGUGAGCGAGAAACCUUCAUGUCAAGAUUAGGAGUGCUGCCUUCGGCAGCAAUAAUAUCGCCACGCCCGAUUAUGAACACAUGAAACAUUUUACAGCA